rnacentral:rRNA from 1 species
GAUCCUGGCUCAGGACGAACGCUGGCGGCGUGCCUAAUACAUGCAAGUCGAGCGAAGUUUUUCUGGUGCUUGCACUAGAAAAACUUAGCGGCGAACGGGUGAGUAACACGUAAAGAACCUGCCUCAUAGACUGGGACAACUAUUGGAAACGAUAGCUAAUACCGGAUAACAGCAUUAACUGCAUGGUUGAUGUUUUGAAAGUUGGUUAUGCUAACACUAUGAGAUGGCUUUGCGGUGCA